GUGAGUAUAGUAUAAUAGGUUAGUACGAUGAAUUGUGAUUUCAUAAAUACGAGCUCAAAUCUCGUUAUUCAUC
rnacentral:tRNA from 1 species